rnacentral:rRNA from 1 species
AACGAGCGCUGGCGGCAGGCCUAACACAUGCAAGUCGAGCGCGCCUUCGGGUGAGCGGCGGACGGGUGAGUAACGCGUGGGAAUAUGCCCUUCUCUACGGAAUAGUCCUGGGAAACUGGGGGUAAUACCGUAUACGCCCUUUGGGGGAAAGAUUUAUCGGGGAAGGAUUAGCCCGCGUUGGAUUAGGUAGUUGGUGGGGUAAUGGCCUACCAAGCCGACGAUCCAUAGCUGGUUUGAGAGGAUGAUCAGCCACACUGGGACUGAGACACGGCCCAGACUCCUACGGGAGGCAGCAGUGGGGAAUCUUAGACAAUGGGGGCAACCCUGAUCUAGCCAUGCCGCGUGAGUGAUGAAGGCCUUAGGGUUGUAAAGCUCUUUCAGCUGGGAAGAUAAUGACGGUACCAGCAGAAGAAGCCCCGGCUAACUCCGU